AAAUAGAAGGCUUCUCAAUUUAAAAUAGAUCAUGCCAUUCUAUACACUCAUUACUUCCUGUAUUUCCAAUACAUCUAAUUGCUGCUUUGCAAAUCAAUAGAAUUCUAAACCAUUACUUCUUGUAAAAUAAUUAAUGGACAUUCUAUCUAGUAACAUAUUACGAAAAACUGUGAGUUUUACUAUUGACUACCAUGCAACGGUUGUAGCUUUCAACAUUGUUCCGGCUUUUCCCUUGAUAUCUAUCCAAAUCACGCCAUAUCUAGAAGAAAAGGUAUAAAAAAGCUUGUCUUAUUCUUUUGACAUUUAAACUGUUGAUUGCAACUGGUUUAUGAUACGUGGACGUUCUCAUUUCACCAGCACAGACAUCACUUCGCUUUCAAGAGAUAACUGUUGCAGCUCGUAGUACGAGUAAUAUAUCACAGUAGCGUUGGUUGGUUGAGUCCACACCCAAAUCAUUAGAAGGUGAAAUGCGCAUCUGCCGAUUGCUUUGGUCGUAGGUGGAAGACCUAGCUGGUGUUGGAAUGGUUCCCCUUCCAGAAAUCAAUUUCUCGAACCGGUCGAACAAGCGACGACCACUGUGGUUUGGGCUGCGGUCAAAGGCGGAGAGGUUCAGACUGCACCCCUGCCACUAAAUUAUAGCCUUGGCACUCAUCUAGGAUUGGGCUUCUAUCCACUUUUCGUGGAUUCAACAACAGUUCUCUGGCCUCAACCAUCACAAAUUUUCCGUUACUAUUAGAACUCGUCAAAAGAAUGGCAAGAUCGUAUUUCAGGGACAACCGACAGAAGCUCGUAAAACGCCAACAAGUUUUAAGAAUAAAACAGCCAACAAUCAAAUAAAUCUACAUUUAACACUCUAGAAGCAGUAAUAAACUUUCAGGAAAUUGGAAUUCUUUUUUUAUGAAUACUUCAAAAACUAUUAUUUCGAAAGCUUUGAACAUGGUUGAUUCUGGAGAGUGACCAAUACACGCCAUACAUAAUAUAUUAUGUGGAAGUGCAAUGAUACAAGGCUGCAUUCCUACAUUUUCACAGUUGAGUAGCUUUAAAUAUGACAGAGGGAGCAGCUCUUAUUGAAUAGAAUUUAUCCUUAAAACUUAUAACAUGUUAAGUGCGAGAAUAAAGACAUUCAUAUUAAAAUAUGAAAUCCAUGGCAAAAUAUAUCAUGACUGUUUCUAAGGUAGUCAGUGAAUUUGUUUCAAGAUCGGUGUGAUGAAUCUGUGGGUAUAGAAAUUCUAUAUUGUACUGCAAGUUCAUAAUUCCCUAAAAGUUUGUAAGAACAGAAGUGAAAAGAUGUCGAAUAAAAUAUGAUA